GAAACACGGACCAAGGAGUUCAACUGGAUUGCGAGUCGUAGAGAUUUCUCAAAACUCACAACGGCGAAGCGAAAGCAAAUCGGUGUGAUAUGAUAUAUACUAAUUUAUUAGUGUUAUCAUUGCAACACAGGCUGAUUACGAAUAUGCAUGGGAUUCUCGUGUAUACCCUACAUAAUUUACUUGUAUGGAUUAAUUAAGCUAAAGAGCACUUUAGUUGAGACCCGAAAGAUGGUGAACUUUGCCCGGACAUGGUGAAGCCAGGUGAAAACUUGGUGGAAGCUUGCGCUGUGCGGAACUGACGUGCAAAUCGUUGCCGCCUGAUCUGGGUAAAGGGGCGAAAGACUCAUCGAACCAUCUAGUAGCUGGUUCCCUCCGAAGUUUUCCUUAGAAUAGCUGGAGUUUAUUACAUUUAAUUUUUUCAAUUAACUUGAAAGAGUAACACAGGGGUAAAGCAAUGAGACGCGGUAUCUGUGGGUCUUAUCUUAAUGACCUCGGCCUUCUCUCAAACUUUAAAUCUGUGCGAAUCUAUAUCUGAUUUCUUAAAAAUACGUAUUUAUUUAUGUAUGUGAAUCUAUAGAUUGUAUCUAAAACUCGUAGUGGGCCAUUUCUGGUAAGCAGAACUGGCGAUGAGGGAUUCAACCUGACGUUUUCAAGAUAAGCCGGGCUUAAUCAUAUCUGCUCCAACCUUCCGAUAAACGCGA
rnacentral:rRNA from 1 species